CCUACGGGAGGCAGCAGUGAGGAAUAUUGGUCAAUGGCCGUAAGGCUGAACCAGCCAAGUAGCGUGAGGGAAGAAUGCUCUAUGGUUUGUAAACUUCUUUUAUGCGGGGAUAAAGGUGUCCACGUGUGGAUGUUUGCAUGUACCGUAUGAAUAAGGACCGGCUAAUUCCGUGCCAGCAGCCGCGGUAAUACGGAAGGUCCGGGCGUUAUCCGGAUUUAUUGGGUUUAAAGGGUGCGUAGGUGGGUUUUUAAGUGUGCUGUGAAAUUUUGUGGCUCAACCAUGAGAGUGCAGCGGAAACUGGAGGCCUUGAGUGCGCGUGAGGCAGGCGGAAUGCGUGGUGUAGCGGUGAAAUGCUUAGAUAUCACGAAGAACUCCGAUUGCGAAGGCAGCUUACUAAGC
rnacentral:rRNA from 1 species